rnacentral:rRNA from 1 species
UAAGCAUAUCAAUAAGCGGAGGAAAAGAAACCAACAGGGAUUGCCCUAGUAACGGCGAGUGAAGCGGCAACAGCUCAAAUUUGAAAUCUGGCUCUCGGGCCCGAGUUGUAAUUUGUAGAGGAUACUUUUGAUGCGGUGCCUUCCGAGUUCCCUGGAACGGGACGCCAUAGAGGGUGAGAGCCCCGUCUGGUUGGAUGCCAAAUCUCUGUAAAGUUCCUUCAACGAGUCGAGUAGUUUGGGAAUGCUGCUCUAAAUGGGAGGUAUAUGUCUUCUAAAGCUAAAUACCGGCCAGAGACCGAUAGCGCACAAGUAGAGUGAUCGAAAGAUGAAAAGCACUUUGAAAAGAGAGUUAAAAAGUACGUGAAAUUGUUGAAAGGGAAGCGUUUAUGACCAGACUUGGGCUUGGUUAAUCAUCUGGGGUUCUCCCCAGUGCACUUUUCCAGUCCAGGCCAGCAUCAGUUUUCCCCGGGGGAUAAAGGCGGCGGGAAUGUGGCUCUCUUCGGGGAGUGUUAUAGCCCACCGUGUAAUACCCUGGGGGGGACUGAGGUUCGCGCAUCUGCAAGGAUGCUGGCGUAAUGGUCAUCAACGACCCGUCUUGAAACACGGACC